rnacentral:lncRNA from 1 species
GAGCCGAGCCGGGAUGUGGAGCAGCUGGCAGGAGCCGGCCGCCUGGGAUCCGGCCUUGACGGGAGCGGAGCCGAGGAGCGAGCCCUCGUAGAAGAUGGACAUGGUGGUGGAGGAGUACUUGAUGGGAGUGAUGUUGGGAUUGACGACGUGUACGGUCAGGAUGAGCUCGGCGUCUAGGACUGGGAACUUGAGUUUAAACGAGGUGAGUUUGAUUGAGAUCAAUUGGAAUGUGGGGUCCUUCGGCUUCGCACUGACUAGAGCUGCCGUUGCGGUUGCUGCUGCUGCUCCUAUCAAAGCUGAGUUCCAGCUCCAUUUUACCUUUUUGCCCAUGACCUUCUUCGUAAAUUACUCUAUUCUUGGUCCCUUUUGAAAUAAUGAACCAACCAACGAAGACGAGACCAAGGGGGACGCGGGUUUAUCUUUAGUCUGAUAGCCACGGUGAUUGAAAUGACGCUAAUGCCCAUAUAAAUAUUUGUUUGGUGACAGGCAUGGUGGUACAGCAGGGCUCCCCCCCACGUUGCUAACUGUCUUUUUCUUAUUUUCUUUCCGCUCGAGCCCGUCGAGCCGAGCCGGGAUGUGGAGCAGCUGGCAGGAGCCGGCCGCCUGGGAUCCGGCCUUGACGGGAGCGGAGCCGAGGAGCGAGCCCUCGUAGAAGAUGGACAUGGUGGUGGAGGAGUACUUGAUGGGAGUGAUGUUGGGAUUGACGACGUGUACGGUCAGGAUGAGCUCGGCGUCUAGGACUGGGAACUUGAGUUUAAACGAGGUGAGUUUGAUUGAGAUCAAUUGGAAUGUGGGGUCCUUCGGCUUCGCACUGACUAGAGCUGCCGUUGCGGUUGCUGCUGCUGCUCCUAUCAAAGCUGAGUUCCAGCUCCAUUUUACCUUUUUGCCCAUGACCUUCUUCGUAAAUUACUCUAUUCUUGGUCCCUUUUGAAAUAAUGAACCAACCAACGAAGACGAGACCAAGGGGGACGCGGGUUUAUCUUUAGUCUGAUAGCCACGGUGAUUGAAAUGACGCUAAUGCCCAUAUAAAUAUUUGUUUGGUGACAGGCAUGGUAAUUUAAGAGCUUGGGCAUGGGCUUAUUAUUGAUAGCAACAAGCUCAAGUCCUCUAAAAUCCCGUCCAAGACUUGGGCCUAAAGCUCACCGGUUUGGACCGAGUUUAAUUUUAUAAAAUUUUAAUAGAGUUUAAAAUAAAAAAUUAAAAGAAUACUUAAAUUAAAGAUGAUUA